CCAGCUCAUGCUGCAGGUCCUUGGCCUGCAGCUCCAGCCUGGCCCUCCGCUUGACCUGCUCUCACAUCUCUCUGCUCGACUGCUCCUUCCCCGCUUCCAUGGCCUUGAACCAGGACUUCAGCUGGCGGACAACGUGCCGUUUGUCCUUUAAAGGAAGACAGAGCGGGGAGGGAGAGUCUUCAUCUUAAUCUCCAGCUACUAGAAAACUCAAAAUCCCCUGGGGUUGACAAUUCAUUGAGCCCAGAUCAAGACGGCUUUAUCUGAAGCAACGCACAAUAACUUCAUACCAAAGGACGUUGGAACAACUAUGGAACACAGGUCCAAUAAGGAAAUCCCACCUCUUUUAUACUCCACUGAAGAGGUGUAUGUCACUGUUUCCUUUUCUUUAUUUUCUUCAAGUAAUCAAAUAAUUUAGGACAUCAAACAGAACGUUUAAGGCAGUGCAGUAAUUGGGU